GAAGCCUUUGACGAACAGGAGGAGCUCAUACAUCUCGACAAUGAUAACCGAAGGUGGAUGUCGAACAGAAAUCACGCGGAAGAAAAGAGUAUAAAAAUGUUGGGAAAGAAUCGUUGAACGAGCACGAGGAGCAAGACCUACCAAAAAGAGAAAACAAUCGCAGCGUGAAAGAUUACCUAUAGCAGGCGUAAGAGAAACGGCGCAUUUCGAAGCUGUUGAUUCAUUCGCGAGUCUCCGUAACGAAAACACGAGGCAGCCGUGUGUGGAGGAUCCGAGUAAAUUACUGUGUAUCCAGGCUGACCGCGUUAAUCGGCUUUCCCGGUGCGAACGUGAGCCAGUUCGAUCGACGAGAAAUGAGAAGAAGACGAAGCAGCAACAGCGAACGGAACAGAACAGGGUUCGAGUGGAUCGUCGAAGCACGCAGCCGCGGUUUGCAUCGGGAACAUUUAUUCCGGAAAUCCUGUUUGUUGGAAUGAAGCCUUGAAGUUGCCAUCCACUUGCACACCGCCCGCGUUUCCGUCUGCAUCCCGCGGCUCCACUCGCGGCUACAUUUCUUCUUUUCUUUCUUUCGUCGCGAGGUCGCUGGCUUAGCAUUCAACCGGCACGGAAGAAAGUUUAAGUGACUCAUGGAGACACUCUUGAAAUUCACUCCGCGCCGUUACUUAAGUUUCUAUUUUCCCGCUAACGUGGAGGAAGGCGUCGUCGCGUAGCGGAUGUGGCGUCCCAGUGCCGUACUCUUCUGGACACCUCGAUCGAUGGAUCGAGCAUGAAAGUUUAACCGGAGUUCAACAUCCGCGGCGAAAUUACCCCCGGACCACAAAUCACCACGGAAUAUUUUCGAAUUGGUUCCUGCAACGGCGAAGUUACGGUUAACGUAACGUCCCGGAAUCGUUUAAUAAGAGCGAGUUACUCGCGCCUAUAAAUAACUUCUGCGAGGCUAAUAUCCUCGAGAAUCGAGGAUUUCGAUCGUUCGGGGAGAGGCCGGCUACGAGGGACGAUCUAAUAUCCGAGGAAAUAUCUCGAGCAUCGAUUUUUCCGAUAAAAUUCCAAGCCACGUUCCGGUCAACACGAGUGGCCUUUAGAAAAAUGAGCCAAAUGUCGAUCGAACGUUCGAGCGAUCCCGGAGCGUCCUUCGGCAAUCUGCUUCCGUCUGGCGAGCAUUUUCCGAAAGGAUAAUCAGAAUCGGUGAUCCUGUAGCCCCGUGUGCCGAUUACGUGACGGAGGUCCUUUAUCCGCGGAUAAGAAAGCUUGCAGCGUGUCACUACGGAGGGUAACCAGUGACACGGGACUUUCGACCUGUAAAUCGUUCGACCGUCCAAUGGAGUGUUCAAGACGUUGGAA